GCCGGGAGUUGUAGUCUCGGCGCUCCCCUGCAUUUGUUCCUCUCCUGGCCGACACGUCGGGACCGCACGGAGCGGGCGAUCAGACAUAUUUCUAUC